AGAGAAAGAAGCUCAUGAUGCCCACAGACAACAACAGCAACAGGAGCUGCAGGAGAUGCUGGACAGACAUCGCUCCCAGAAUGAGGCGUGGCUCCGAGCCAGAGCUGAGGAGAAUGACCGAGAGAGGAGGGAGCUCUGCAGACUCAGAGAGGAGGUGUUGCAGGAGCAGGAGAGGCUGAAGGAGGAACACAGCAGCAUCCAGAAACGCAGCGAACAUCUUCUGUCCAUCAUGCAACAGUUUAAAGGAAUGUGAAACAGAUACUGUAGAUAGAUAGAGUUAGAGAAAUGUGUUAAAAAAUUGCAGUUCUGGGAUACACCCCAUUACAUAAGCCAGUAAAGAGAUGUCACUGAUAUUAAUCUUUUUCCUUUUGUUCCCGUCCCCCACUCUUUUUUUCUUUUUCAUGUUUGUUUAAUUUGGACAUUGAUGUUUAGAUCAGAAAGUAAUCUGAGUGAUAAGGAGAUUACUUGAAGGGGGAAAAUGAGAGAUAAAGGGGGAAAAAUCCUCAAAGGAUUUGCUUUUUAUGUAUUAAACUUUUCUUCUAUAAAAAUGUAUUGCAAAAAAGAAAGUUAAAAGUGUGUAUCUUGUAUAGUUGAGUGUGUGACAGCUGACUGAUUGAUGAGAGAGUGUGCGAGGGAGAACCUCAGAAUAAACGCUGCAUAAUAAAUGCUGUCAUGGUGCAAAUAAGCUGCUAAAAAAGGAAAAAAAAACAAAAACAAAAAAGCAAGACUAACAGUCUGCAGCCAUGCUAGAGACUGUGUGAUGUUGCACUUACUGCUCACAAUGACAGUGCCAACAUCCUGAUCUUUAUUGGGUAUAAUGGUUACCAUGUUCACCACUGAGCGCGGGUAAUGUGAUGAAAAAAUAAGACAAUCAUAUUUUAAGACUCCAUAAUUGACUAAAUGUCAAGAUAAGAUGUUUUGCAGUGUACCAUGGCAAACAGCAUAGAUGGUUGUUGCUAUGGUUACCACUGUAGUACUAAUAUACUGAGGAUGGAGCACUUUUUUCAAUAUUUGUAAUGAAACAAAGUAAAGAAACGAGUAUAAAAAUGUUGUGUGAGGAGACUUGAAAGUGAGGUCUGUUCACUCAGAAGUGAACAUUGACCAACUGUAAACUCAGGGGCUCGCUUUCAACCACAUCACAGCUCUGCCAGGACAAAUAAGAACAUUCAGCUUUCAUAACUGUCAAGAUACAGACCUUAUAAUAAUUAAUUUUAUUAAUUAAUCAACCGUCUGAACUAUGUCAGUCUGACUGUUCCUUCUGUUUGUCUGCCUGUUUGUCUCCUCGUCUUAUUCUGUCUGUCUGUAUCUAUUUAUCUGUCUGUCUGUCUGUAUUUAUCUCUUUCUGUCGGUCUUCUCCACUGUCGCAUUCAACAGCAGGACGGAUCACUAUUAAGCAAGGAAAAACAGCGUAAUGCAGCAGUCAGUGUUCUUGUAUUUCUUCUCGGUCGCACUAUUUGGCAGAGCGAGGCAGGGGCGGGGAGAGAAAGUGAGGAACGUCAAGUUUGCGGCAAUGAGACCGGAGGUGUGGCGUUAAAGUAAAAUAAAAGCUGAAAUUUUUACACUAUGUUACAAUCCAAUUCUUUUUUUACC